UGGUCAUUACCAAGGCUUUUGGAAGGUCGUUUCCUAUUUGCUGUGGAUUUGACCAUACACAAAGUCAUCCAAUGCACUUUUUCUCUGCUACCUUGCUAGCUCGCAGCCUACUGGAAAUAUUU